rnacentral:rRNA from 1 species
CCCGCCGGACCUGACUGCUAUCGGAUUGAUACUAAGCCAUGCGAGUCUUUGUAGUAAUACAAGGCAGACGGCUCAGUAACACGUAGUCAACCUACCCUAUGGACAAGAAUAAUCUCGGGAAACUGGGCAUAAUUCUUGAUAGAUCAUAAUGCCUGGAAUGGUUUAUGGUUAAAAUGAUUCGUCGCCAUAGGAUGGGACUGCGGCCUAUCAGCUUGUUGGUGAGGUAAUGGCCCACCAAGGCGAUUACAGGUACGGGCUCUGAGAGGAGAAGCCCGGAGAUGGGUACUGAGACACGGACCCAGGCCCUAUGGGGCGCAGCAGGCGAGAAAACUUUGCAAUGUGCGAAAGCACGACAAGGUUAAUCCGAGUGAUUUCUGCUAAAGAAAUCUUUUGCCAGUCAUAAAACCACUGGUGAAUAAGGGGUGGGCAAGUUCUGGUGUCAGCCGCCGCGGUAAAACCAGCACCUCAAGUGGUCAGGAUGAUUAUUGGGCCUAAAGCAUCCGUAGCCUGCUUUGUAAGUUUUCGGUUAAAUCCAUGUGCUCAACGCAUGGGCUGCCGAAAAUACUGCAUAGCUAGGGAGUGGGAGAGGUAGACGGUACUCAGUAGGUAGGGGUAAAAUCCUUUGAUCUAUUGAUGACCACCUGUGGCGAAGGCGGUCUACCAGAACACGUUCGACGGUGAGGGAUGAAAGCUGGGGGAGCAAACCGGAUUAGAUACCCGGGUAGUCCCAGCUGUAAACGAUGCAGACUAGAUGAUGCAUUGGCAUAAUAGCCAUUGCAGUGUCUCAGGGAAGCCGUUAAGUCUGCCGCCUGGGAAGUACGUACGCAAGUAUGAAACUUAAAGGA